rnacentral:rRNA from 1 species
AAACCAGCACCUCAAGUGGUCAGGAUGAUUAUUGGGCCUAAAGCAUCCGUAGCCGGCUCUGUAAGUUUUCGGUUAAAUCUGUACGCUCAACGUACAGGCUGCCGGGAAUACUGCAGAGCUAGGGAGUGGGAGAGGUAGACGGUACUCGGGAGGAAGGGGUAAAAUCCUUUGAUCUCUCGAUGACCACCUGUGGCGAAGGCGGUCUACCAGAACACGUUCGACGGUGAGGGAUGAAAGCUGGGGGAGCAAACCGGAUUAGAUACCCGGGUAGUCC